rnacentral:rRNA from 1 species
GACCUCAGUUCAGGUGAGAUUACCGGCUGAAUUUAAGCAUAUUACUAAGCCGAGGAAAAGAAACUAACAAGGAUUCCCCUAGUAGCAGCGAGCGAACAGGGAAGAGCCCAGCGCUGAAUCCCCCGGGCCUCGCUCGGCGGGAAAUGUAGCGUUUGGGAGGGCCCGUCAACACGGCGACUCGCUCACUGGUUCAAGUCCAACUUGAAUGGGGCCACACAGAGGGUGACAGGCCCGUAGAGCAGGAGCGGUUGUCGUGUGGGUCUCUCCUUAGAGUCGGUUUGCUUGAGAGUGCAGACUUAAGUGGGUGGUAAACUCCAUCUAAGGCUAAAUAUGACCACGAGACCGAUAGCACACAAGUACCGUGAGGGAAAGGUGAAAAGAACUUUGAAGAGAGAGUUCAAGAGUACGUGAAACUGAAGUGGUGUAAACGGACGAGUUCGAAAAGUCCGAAUGGUGAGAUUCAAGCUUACCGUGCCGGUGGCCCUCGGGUUCAGAUGGCGUCGUCAGCUCGGGCUUCGGUUCGGGUCAUACGGCGUCACUCGUCCUGGGGGUAUCUGUCUGGUGCGGUGGGCUGCACUUCUCGCCUAGUAGGACGUCGCGACCCGUUGGGAUGUUCCGUUCACUGGCCCUCGGUGGAGCCCGCGCCGGAGCGUGGCCUUGUGCCGCGUUGCUGUUUGCACGGACCCGGGGUGACCUGAUCGGCGCCCGACGGUAUCAAAGCUUGGGAAGAGGCCGCACAGAGGAUGCGUUCGAUGGCCGUUUCGGCCUACACUCGGACAGGCCUGCACCCGGUCAGCGG